AGGAGUGAGCUUAACAGCCCUGGGCAGCCACGUGCGAAGCGGCCACGGUAACCAGUUUGGUGCAGCGGGGCCUGCACCGGCCCAAGUUUCACGGCGCAGCAUCUGAGGAGCCAGGAUGAUCCCCAGAAUCACAGCUCGGCCACUGCCUAAGGCUACAGAUUCGCUGCACACACGUGUUUGUGCAAGUACAGUUCUUUACCGCGCUGACAUUUAUGCUGUUUACACACCAAGAAUUACCUCUCCCUUGAGGUUGCUCAAGAAAGGGCAGCCCCGCACCUGGAGUUCCUGUAGGAUCCAUCAACCAGGCACUGUCCUCUGUACCUGCUGGGUCACAGCAGCUGCCGCUUGCAGAAUGGGGUUAUCAGCUUGCAAGGCAGAAAUAACGGCAUGUCUACAUCGCCCACUACAGGAUAGUAUAGGCAUGCUGAAAAUAACCAUAAAAAGUAGGACUACGCAGUUUUAAGGAGAGAGGCCAGGACUGCCCAGGCACCAGUGCUACUCAAGCAUUUAUUAAAAUCAGCAGGAGCUCCCUCUGACAUUGAAGGGCCAUGGGAUCUGCAUCAGCCCUUGAGGUCAGGAGGAAGGACCAGCUGGCAUGAAGGACAAAUAGGAAAAAGGAGCACGAUUCUCAUUGCGCGUAUCAUAAAAGGACUCACAUGUUUUGAAUAACAAUUAUGAUAAUUUAAUCAUUGGUUUGGAUGAUUAAACAAUGUGUGUCAGUGACAGAAUUGUGAUCUGAACCAUCUGUGCAAAGAAACAGCUUUAUGAAAUGGUGGGGUGACUGAAACUAUGUAACCUCCUUGCUUUUAACCAGCUAGAUUUGAAGCAGAUUGUUCCUACUUGUAUUCAAUCAAUGCAUUUCGCCCUCAUUGUUCUCUGAGACUUUUAGUCUAUCAGUUUUCUGGAUAACCAAGGCUGCCCAAGAUCCAGGAAACUUCCC